UGAUAUCACUCCAAAAAUGAUAUGAAGAUCUUGACAACUGCUAUAUCAAGCCUCACUUUUCUGGUGAUUUCAGGCUGUCCUCGAAGAUGUUCAACUGACGUCUAUUCUCUAGAAUUACUUCCUUCAAAACUCAGCUCCACUGCUACUUCCUGCAUGAAGUCUUUUCUGAUAUAUUCAGGUGUCAGCAUCCUUACCUUCCCUCAGUUAUUCUGCAUAGCACCUGAAGAGGAUAGAAUUAGGUCAAAGGAGAGUCAUUUAAUGAAAAUUAAGG